rnacentral:sRNA from 1 species
AGCAGCCGCGGUAAUUCCAGCUCCAAUAGCGUAUAUUAAAGUUGUUGCAGUUAAAAAGCUCGUAGUUGAACUUCGGGAUCAAUUGAUAUGGUCAUGCCUUGGUAUGUACUGUUCAUAUUGGUUCUCACCUUCUAAUGAACCAUAAUGUCAUUUAUUUGAUGUUAUGGGGAAUUAGGACUGUUACCUUGAAAAAUUAGAGUGUUUAAAGCAGGCUCACGCUUGAAUACAUUAGCAUGGAAUAAUGAAAUAGGACAUCGCAUUCUAUUUUGUUGGUUUCUAGGAUUGACGUAAUGAUUAAUAGGGAUAGUUGGGGGCAUUAGUAUUCAAUUGUCAGAGGUGAAAUUCUUGGAUUUAUUGAA